GCCUCCGAAAGGGUAUCGGAGGCGCUCAAAGGUCCCCUCAGGAUGGACGGGAACCAUCCGCAGAGUGCAAAGGCAGAAGGGGGCCUGACUGCGACACCGACGGGUGGGGCAGGCAGGAAACUGGGACUUAGUGAUCCGGCGGCAACGGGUGGAAGUGCCGUCGCUCAAC
rnacentral:ncRNA from 1 species